AACGCACCUUGCGCCCCUUGGUAUUCCGAGGGGCAUGCCUGUUUGAGUGUCUUGAAAUCAUCAAACCUAACCGGUCUUUGUUGGCCGGCGCGGUUUGGACUUGGGGGUUUCCUUGCUGCUGCUCGCGGUGGCUCCCCUUAAAUUCAUCGGUCGGGCUUUCGUGCGGCUCUGUCCCUUGGCGUUGUAUUACCCUCGUCGCUGGAUGGCUCGCGAUACUGCGCCCUUCUUUGACCUGCCUCUGGAGUGGCGGUCUUCAACUUUUGUGAUCUGACCUCAAAUCAGGUAGGACUACCCGCUGAACUUAA
rnacentral:misc_RNA from 1 species